rnacentral:rRNA from 1 species
GCCUACGGCCAUACAAGUCUGAAAGUGCCAGAUCUCAGAAGUCAUGCAAACUUGGCCUGCUUAGUACUUGUAUGGGAGACCAACUAGGAACCUCAGGUGCUGUAAGCU